rnacentral:rRNA from 1 species
UGACGGUCAUGUCAUGUUGAAACAUCGGUUCCCGUAAGAUCACCGAAGUUAAGCAACAUCGAGCCUGGUCAGUACCUAAAUGGGUGACCGUUUGCGAAUACCACGUACUGUAA